rnacentral:rRNA from 1 species
UACAUGGGGUGCAAACGUUAAUCGGAAUUACUGGGCGUAAAGCGUGCGCAGGCGGUUAUUUAAGUCAGGUGUGAAAGCCCUGGGCUUAACCUAGGAAUUGCGCUUGAGACUGGAUAGCUUGGAGUGCGGCAGAGGGAGGUGGAAUUCCACGUGUAGCAGUGAAAUGCGUAGAGAUGUGGAGGAACACCGAUGGCGAAGGCAGCCUCCUGGGCCAGCACUGACGCUCAUGCACGAAAGCGUGGGGAGCAAACAGG